rnacentral:rRNA from 1 species
AGGCGUCAAUGAACAGUUUCUCGGUGAAAUGAUAAAGCACCCUACUUCUUGAUUAUUAUCAUAAACAUUGACAUUAAACAAGGAUUAGAUACCCUUUUAUUCAAUGCCCCGUCCUUUGCUGAGAACUACAACCCUCCCAAGGUUAAAACUCAAAUAUCAUGGCGGUAAUCUUAGAUCUUAGGGGAACUUACUUAGUAAUUGAUAACCACCAAGGUUAAGCAACUCCUUCAAACUCUUGUAUGCCGUCGUCGUCAGAUAAUACWUGAUGUUUUAUCACAAAAAGAGACUUUAAAAGACAGAUCAAGGUGCAGACAAUGUAGGAGAWAAAGCGAGUUACAAUUAACCCGUUAUGUGGUCAACCUAAUGUAAUGUAUGUUGAACAUAGGACUUAAUAGUAAAUAAUKUCCCUUU